CCUCCCUCUUUCUGUCUGUUCUGCCACCUUCUCCACUCCGCGAUCAGCAUUUGGCUUUUUCCAUUUGAGGCAGAUUACUGUAACGCUAUUGUACAACAACUUCCUGCCUCUUUUGGCUCUGGUUCUAAAAAACUGCAAAAGGCAGACCUCGUGGCUUUAACUUUUUUCCCCCCUCGGCCUUGAACCAGGAGCUCUAUAAGGGAAGAAAAGGAGGAAGGAGAUAUGUAAAGUGUAUUUAUUACUGAGGAGCUAUUUUUUUUCUCUCUUUUUUAAAAAAUAUUUCAUUUCUGCUUUAUAAACUGCUGAGAAUUAAAGAGGGGACUUCAUGCCUAGCAAGAGACAAUGAGAAAGAGAGAAAGAGGGAGACAGAGAGGAAAAAAAUAAGGACCUUUGAGGGCACUCCCCAUCGAGGAGGGAACAAAGGCCAUGACCCCUGGGUCAAAAGCGUUACAUGGGAGGCCAAGCGAGCUCAUUGAAUGUUCCACUGUUGUUUGCUUUAAGAAGGAUUCUGAAAGAAGGAGAGGAGGAAGAGAGACACAGAGAGAAAAGAGCAAGGGAGAGCUUCUCCUGGGAACAAGCUGGAAAUUAUGGACCUAUUCGAUAUCAGACCUCAGAGUGGACAACCUAUCCUAAGAGGGACGCGCCCUAACUGUAACUAACAACUACUUCUGGCAGCCCUUCAACAACCAGACAUAUUGUCCUGGAUCAGGGCCGUUUUCGAAAAGGCAGCAAUGAGCAAGGGCAGCCUAGGCAAGAAAUCAACAUCGACCUUCAGCCUCAUUAAUAUCAAUUAAUACUUUUUUCCUCUAAUAAAAAUACAGAAUUUUAAACUAUGAUCCCAACUAGGCGUUAAUUAUCAAAUGUAGCAUGUUAAGGUGAUACAUGCUCUAAAAAAGAAGGAUUUCCACACUAAAGUGGGGCAGCAUUAAGAGGUCAGCACAGCGCUUAAAAAAAAAAAAAUUAAAAUGUAUAAUGCGUGGGUUAAUUAUUUCACCUACUAUUUUAGUACUGAUAUAUUAAAAGCUCAAAAUCCAACACUAAUGCAAUGUUGCAUUACUUCGUACUGUGUAGGUCUGAAGAUCUGCAUUUAAAGUGUGAAAGUAACAAAACUGCCUUAUGGUGGAAACGAGCACAAGCAGGGUUUGAAUGAAUGUAACAAUGUAAAUAUACUAAAUUAAAAAUAUUUUUGACUGACUAUAAUACCUGUGUCAUUUGUGUCAUUAUAGCAGAGAUCACAAUGUAAGAACCAAUCAUUUUUAGACAUGCACCAAAUGGGUGUUAUCUAGUUAAACAGCAAUGUAAAAAUACUGAUCUGUAGCACUAAAUAAUGCACUGAGACAAAUUUCAAUAAUCAGUGACACAUAAAGUAAAUUCUCCUUUUCUGUCCACUUAACUAUCAGAUCUCUGCAUACUUCCACUCGUCCUUCCAGUUUUCUCAUGCAGGUUGUUAAUUCCUACUUUUAAAAAAAAACAAAAAAACCUUGGCCAUUUUGUUUUGUUCUCCCUAAUCACUACGCCAGGAGUGCACAGCCCUGGCAUUUCAGGGGCCACGUCACAACGGCUGUUUCUGUGCCGCAGGGCUGCAAGGAGUCCAACACAGCAGAGCCAUACGCACUCAGCGGUUCGCUGCCUCAACAAACACUUUGUGCGCACUGUUUUGUUGUCUUACACAAUCUGUCUAGCAUCCUUGCUCCACUGAGAACAGCAAAACAUGUAACUAAUAACAUUUAACAAUAUGUGUGCUUUUUUUUUUUUCCUGGUGCCUUUUCCAACACGACAUCACACACCUUUCAGCUCCCGAAUCACUUUGCAGCACUUUCCUUCUUAUGAUUGCUACAGUGAAGCAAGCUUAGUGACAAAACAGAGUUACUCGAGCACAAAAAGUAAAUAUUUGAAAUAUUCUAGAUAUUUACCACUUUGAUAUCUGUUGUUUGGCAACCUUGAAAAAAGGGAAACAGCGCUGAUAUUGAUGUCAUGGAUUAAAAAAAGAAGGACAAAAAAAAAAAAUCACUGAUUAGGGAAAUCACACUUGGGUUACUGACGAGUAAAACUGCAUUAGGAGAAUGGCGUUUAUCUAUGUGGGAGAAAAGCAGUGAUUUAUAGGACAGUUGCAUAAACAGAUGUUAUACUCUGUGGGCUAUUUAUGCAAAUUCAGUGGCUCUUCUGAUUCAUGCAAAAUAUUAUUAAUAUUUAUUUUUUACAUAGAGCAAAGUAAAAUGUGUUUGAGACAUAAAUCACUGU